rnacentral:rRNA from 1 species
UGGGGAAUCUUCCGCAAUGGACGAAAGUCUGACGGAGCAACGCCGCGUGAGUGAUGACGGCCUUCGGGUUGUAAAGCUCUGUUAAUCGAGACGAAUGGUUCUUGUGCGAAUAGUGCGAGGAUUUGACGGUACCGGAAUAGAAAGCCACGGCUAACUACGUGCCAGCAGCCGCGGUAAUACGUAGGUGGCAAGCGUUGUCCGGAAUUAUUGGGCGUAAAGCGCGCGCAGGCGGAUUGGUCAGUCUGUCUUAAAAGUUCGGGGCUUAACCCCGUGAUGGGAUGGAAACUGCUGAUCUAGAGUAUCGGAGAGGAAAGUGGAAUUCCUAGUGUAGCGGUGAAAUGCGUAGAUAUUAGGAAGAACACCAGUGGCGAAGGCGACUUUCUGGACGAAAACUGACGCUGAGGCGCGAAAGCCAGGGGAGCGAACGGGAUUAGAUACCCCGGUAGUCCUGGCCGUAAACGAUGGGUACUAGGUGUAGGAGGUAUCGACCCCUUCUGUGCCGGAGUUAACGCAAUAAGUACCCCGCCUGGGGAGUACGACCGCAAGGUUG